rnacentral:rRNA from 1 species
AGAGGGUGCGAGCGUUGUUCGGAAUUACUGGGCGUAAAGCGCGCGCAGGCGGCCUUUUAAGUCUGACGGUGAAAUGCCGGGGCUCAACCCCGUGCCCGCCGCGGAUACUGGGAGGCUGGAGACAUGUAGAGGCAAGCGGAAUUCCGGGUGUAGCGGUGGAAUGCGUAGAGAUCCGGAAGAACACCGGAGGCGAAGGCGGCUUGCUGGGCAUUGUCUGACGCUGAGGCGCGAAAGCGUGGGGAGCGAACAGGAUUAGAUACCCUGGUAGUCCACGCCGUAAACGAUGGGCACUAGACGCUGGGGGGAUCGACCCCUUCGGUGUCGCAGCUAACGCGAUAAGUGCCCCGCCUGGGGAGUACGGCCGCAAGGCUG